CUGAGAGCCUACUCCUGCGGGCGACAAGGCCUGAGCGCCCGCAAGUCACGUUCUAACCUAGGGAACAAGCUGGCGUUCUGUGUGCAGAGCCACCCUUCCUGCCCACGGCCAAGGUCUGCUUCUUGGUCCUGCACGUUCGGGCCCAGGCUUCAGUGUCUCCACAGGACGAAGUAGGUGGAGAUGCCUUAAGCAACGUGAAGUGUCCCCACCGGGCCCCCUGCAUCUUUCAUGCUCCAAGGAGACAAGAUGACUGCCCAGGCCCUGGGAACCCUCCCAGGCUUCUAAGGAGGAAGGAGUUCCCGAGCCAACAGUUGGCAGGUGUCAUGAGUGAAGAUGAGCUCGUGCCCGAGCAGGGCAGGCCGUUCGCCAGUGUGACUGGUCUAGAGGGUGCCUUGAGGCCUGAACUGUGUUCCCAACAGAGAGAGAAACAUGUUUUAAACAGCAAAGGACAGAAGAUGCCCACAAAGAGCUCCAGAUUCAUCUUGCCAAG
ensembl:lncRNA